AUACGGGAGGCAGCAGUAGGGAAUCUUCCACAAUGGACGAAAGUCUGAUGGAGCAAUGCCGCGUGAGUGAAGAAGGUUUUCGGAUCGUAAAGCUCUGUUGCGAGGGAAGAACACGUACGGGAGUAACUGCCCGUACCUUGACGGUACCUCGUCAGAAAGCCACGGCUAACUACGUGCCAGCAGCCGCGGUAAUACGUAGGUGGCAAGCGUUGUCCGGAAUUAUUGGGCGUAAAGCGCGCGCAGGCGGUCCUUUAAGUCUGAUGUGAAAGCCCACGGCUCAACCGUGGAGGGUCAUUGGAAACUGGGGGACUUGACUACAGAAGAGGAAAGCGGAAUUCCACGUGUAGCGGUGAAAUGCGUAGAGAUGUGGAGGAACACCAGUGGCGAAGGCGGCUUUCUGGUCUGUAACUGACGCUGAGGCGCGAAAGCGUGGGGAGCAAACAGGAUUAGAUACCCUUGUAGUCUU
rnacentral:rRNA from 1 species